rnacentral:rRNA from 1 species
AACGAACGCUGGCGGCAUGCCUAACACAUGCAAGUCGAACGAAGGCUUCGGCCUUAGUGGCGCACGGGUGCGUAACGCGUGGGAACCUGCCCCUCGGUUCGGAAUAACAGUUAGAAAUGACUGCUAAUACCGGAUGAUGACUUCGGUCCAAAGAUUUAUCGCCGAGGGAUGGGCCCGCGUAGGAUUAGCUAGUUGGUGGGGUAAAGGCCUACCAAGGCGACGAUCCUUAGCUGGUCUGAGAGGAUGAUCAGCCACACUGGGACUGAGACACGGCCCAGACUCCUACGGGAGGCAGCAGUGGGGAAUAUUGGACAAUGGGGGCAACCCUGAUCCAGCCAUGCCGCGUGUGUGAAGAAGGCCUCGGUUGUAA